GCAGCCGAUCAGACGGGGAAGCUGUUCGUCGGGGACGCUGUGUUGCAGGUCAACGGUAUAAAUGUCAAGCCUUGUACCCAUGAAGAAGUUGUUCACCUCUUGCGCACUGCAGGAGAUGAGGUCACCAUUACUGUUCGCUACCUGCGAGAAGUUCCAUCAUUUCUUAAACUGCCUCUAGGUUCCCCUGGGCCGUCCACAGAUCACAGCAGAGUAUCCUCUCCACUCUUUGACAGCGGCUUACAUUUAAAUGGAAACAGAAACA